AUCACUAAGCGGAGGAAAAGAAAUUAACUAAGAUUGCCUCAGUAACGGCGAGUGAAGCGGCAAGAGCCCACCAUGAAAAUCUUCACGCAUUUCGCGUGACGAGUUGUAGGGUAAAGGGUGGUUGCUCAACUGGCGUGGGCGCAGAAGUGCCUUAGAACAGGCGGCCAAAGAGGGUGACAGCCCCGUAUGUGGUGCCCACACCUAACGAGUGAUUGUCCGAAGAGUCGGGUUGUUUUGUAUUGCAGCCCUAAUUGGGAGAUAAACUUCUUCUAAGGCUAAAUACUUACGGGAAACCGAUAGCGAACAAGUACUGUGAAGGAAAGAUGAAAAGAACUUUGAAAAGAGAGUCAAAAGACUUGAAAUCGUUGAAAAGGAAGCGGUGGAAAUUUAUUCUUCGGCGAUGACCUAUGGUAGUUGUCUAACUUCGUAUGCGGCUCGAUACGUCAAUGGUCGGUUGCAUGCUCAAGGGAAACGACUGCUUCGUUCUUCGUCGUGAGGCAAAAUGGAGUUGCUCGCCUUCAGAGGCUUGUUAGGGCUGGCUUGAUUCGUCUUGCACCCUGGCUGUGCCGGAGGGUGAGUGGCUUGAGGGGCUUUGUGCGAUUUUGCCAAAAUGGUUUUUACCGACCCGUCUUGAAACACGGACCAAGGAGUCUAACAUGUAUGCGAGUAUGCUGGUGGAGAAACCAACAUGCACAACUAACGUGAGCGAUGCCAAGCGCAAGCAGCAGCAUCGGCCGACCAUGAUUCUCUGAUGAAAGGAUCGCGCAAGAGCAUACCUGUUAGGACCCGAAAGAUGGUGAACUAUGCCUGAGCAGGGUGAAGCCAGGGGAAACUCUGGUGGAGGCUCGUAGCGACACUGACGUGCAAAUCGUUCGUCUGACUUGGGUAUAGGGGCGAAAGACUAAUCGAACCAUCUAGUAGCUGGUUCCCUCCGAAGUUUCCCUCAGGAUAGCAAGGACAAUUAUGCAGUUUUAUUAGGUAAAGCGAAUGAUUAGAGGCCUCGGGGAUCCAGCAUCCUCGACCUAUUCUCAAACUUUAAAUUGGUAAGAACCCUGGCCUUCCUUAAUUGAGGCGCAGGGGCUCAAUGCGUGUCCUUAGUGGGCCAUUUUUGGUAAGCAGAACUGGCGAUGAGGGGUGCUCCUAACGUCGAGUUAAGGUGCCGAAGUGCACGCUCAUCAGACACUACAAAGGGUGUUGGUUCAUAAAGACAGCAGGACGGUGGCCAUGGAAGUCGGAAUCCGCUAAGGAGUGUGUAACAACUCACCUGCCGAAUGAACUAGCCCCGAAAAUGGAUGGCGCUUAAGCGUGCGACCGAUACUCGACCAUUGCGGCGAGAGUGAGGCUGCAAUGAGUAGGAGGGCGUGAGCGUUGUUGUGAAGCCUCUGACGUGAGUCUGGGUUGAACAGCGUUUAGUGCGGAUCUUGGUGGUAGUAGCAAUUAUUCAAAUGAGAACUUUGAAGGCCGAAGUGGAGAAGGUUUCCGUGAGAACAGCAAUUGGUCACGGGUGACUCGAUCCUAAGACAUGGGGGAAAUCCUUGUUAAGUGCGCCAUUUGGUGCGAAGUCGAAAGGGAAUGAGGUUAAUAUUCCUCAAGCUGGAUGUGGAUAUUGUAUGGCAACAUCAAUGAGCUCAGAGACGCCAGCGUGAGCCUCUGGAAGAGUUCUCUUUUCUUUUUAACAGACUAGCGACCUUGAAAUUGGAUUACCCAGAGCUAAGGUUGUACGUCUGGAAGAGCACCUCGCUUUUCGAGGUGUCAGGUGCGCUCACGAUGGUCCUUGAAAAUCUGAGUGAGAGUUUUAUUUCACACCAGGUCGUACCCAUAACCGC
rnacentral:rRNA from 1 species